ACCAAAACACCUUUUAAGUAAGGGAUGCUCAGGCACAGCUAGAAGGUGCACCUGCCCCUUGAAACUGGAAAUCCUGCUGGAAGGGGAUGUGGAGCUCACACCUGCUUCACACAUUAUUCAGAGAACAAUAGGAAACUAAUUAUGUUUGGAAAGUCACUAGUUAUUUAUAGCAAGGCAUCAAAUUUGUUACCAUGAGAGCUUCAAGCAGGUCAGGGUUACAGUCCUACAGUCACCUGCACAGGGCAUCCUAAAAUACCUGGGCUGGCCUACACUUGAAAUAAAACCGAGUUCAAACACAGCUAGGUUCUUAAAAUCAAUCCUCCAGCACAUAUUUGCUAAAAAUCUUCAUGGAAACAUCAUUUAGAGACCUUUAUCAGAAGAGACAGAGAUAAGGGUCAUGUAACCUGUGGGUGUCUGACUUAUUACAGCAAAAUUAGGCCUCUGUUGAUUUCAUAGGGCAGGACAGGCUGCGCCCAUCUUCAGCUGUUCUUACAGAAAACAUGUGCAGAAACGUUAUCUAAUUGCAGCAGUGGAGCAUCUCUGCAUCUGCUCUCCACGCACUUCAGAUUAAGUAAUUACCAGCGGCACGGCAGCAAUGGUAGGACAGUGGUUUCUGGAACAUGGAAUUAUGCCAGAAAAGCUUUGGGAUCCAGUUGCCAAGCGGAGGGAGUGGAAGCUCACUGCUGCCUCAUUUCACAGCAAUGACAUCAGCUCCGAGCUCCCUGGAAAUCCGAAGCCUCUCUCCAGGAGGAUGGAUCAUGGAUGGGUGCUGAGCUCGCAGCCGCAGCGGUCACGGGGCUGCUGAGCACAUCAGGUGAUUCACACACAAAAGGGAUUUGAGUCUUCCUCCAGCACCCAGAGGAACCACCAGCAGCUAUUUAUUUAUGUAUCACACAACAGGGAUUUAUAUCAUAUA